rnacentral:rRNA from 1 species
UACGUAGGGCGCAAGCGUUGUCCGGAAUUAUUGGGCGUAAAGAGCUCGUAGGUGGCUGGUCGCGUCUGCCGUGAAAGCCCGCAGCUUAACUGCGGGUCUGCGGUGAAUACGGGCGGGCUGAGUGGUAGGGAGGGAUGGAAUUCCUGGUGUAGCGGUGAAAUGCGCAGAUAUCAGGAGGAACACCCGUGCGAAGGCGGCAUCUCGGUCGGUCACUGACUCUGAGGAGCGAAAGCGUGGGGAGCAACAGG